rnacentral:rRNA from 1 species
UUUCGGUGACGAUGGCGGAGGGGUAACACCCGUUCCCAUACCGAACACGGAAGUAAAGUCCUCCAGCGCCGAUGGUACUAGGUUCUCCUGGGAGAGUAGGUCGUCGCCGAACU